rnacentral:rRNA from 1 species
CUGGGUUGAUCCUGCCGGACCUGACUGCUAUCGGAUUGGUACUAAGCCAUGCGAGUGAUCGUAGCAAUACGACGCAGACGGCUCAGUAACACGUAGUCGACCGUAACUCGUGGACGUGGAUAAUCUCGGGAAACUGAGGAUAAACCACGAUAGAUAACGGUGUCUGGAAUGGCCCAUUGUCCAAACAGUUUACUGCCACGGGAUGGGACUGCGGCCUAUCAGCUUGUUGGUGAGGUAAUGGCCCACCAAGGCUAUAACAGGUACGGGCUCUGAGAGGAGAAGCCCGGAGAUGGGUACUGAGACACGGACCCAGGCCCUAUGGGGCGCAGCAGGCGAGAAACCUUAGCAAUGUGCGAAAGCACGACUGGGCCAGUCCGAGUGAUUUCUGAUAAAGGAAUCUUUUGCCCGUCCUAAAAGCACGGGCGAAUAAGGGGUGGGCAAGUCUGGUGU